rnacentral:rRNA from 1 species
GAUGAACGCUGGCGGCGUGCCUAAUACAUGCAAGUCGAGCGAACAGACGAGGAGCUUGCUCCUCUGACGUUAGCGGCGGACGGGUGAGUAACACGUGGAUAACCUACCUAUAAGACUGGGAUAACUUCGGGAAACCGGAGCUAAUACCGGAUAAUAUAUUGAACCGCAUGGUUCAAUAGUGAAGGACGGUUUUGCUGUCACUUAUAGAUGGAUCCGCGCCGCAUUAGCUAGUUGGUAAGGUAACGGCUUACCAAGGCGACGAUGCGUAGCCGACCUGAGAGGGUGUUCGGCCACACUGGAACUGAGACACGGUCCAGACUCCUACGGGAGGCAGCAGUAGGGAAUCUUCCGCAAUGGGCGAAAGCCUGACGGAGCAACGCCGCGUGAGUGAUGAAGGUCUUCGGAUCGUAAAACUCUGUUAUUAGGGAAGAACAAAUGUGUAAGUAACUAUGCACGUCUUGACGGUACCUAAUCAGAAAGCCACGGCUAACUACGUG